CCAACGGCUCUUUUAAGAGCCACCCAUGUCGUCUUAAAAGGGCUG
rfam:Balearica pavonina gibbericeps contig23453, whole genome shotgun sequence.